rnacentral:rRNA from 1 species
CCUACGGGUGGCUGCAGUGGGGAAUAUUGCACAAUGGGGGAAACCCUGAUGCAGCGACGCCGCGUGAGUGAAGAAGUAUUUCGGUAUGUAAAGCUCUAUCAGCAGGGAAGAAAAUGACGGUACCUGAUCACGACGCCCCGGCUAACUACGUGCCAGCAGCCGCGGUACUACGCAGGGGGCAAGCGUUAUCCGGAUUUACUGGGUGUAAAGGGAGCGUAGACGGCUGCACAAAUCUGGAGUGAAAUGCCUGGGCUUAACCCCGGAACUGCUUUGGAAACUGUGAGGCUAGAGUGCGGGAGAGGUAAGUGGAAUUCCUGGUGUAGCGGUGAAAUGCGUAGAUAUGGGGAGGAACACCAGUGGCGAAGGCAGCUUACUGGACUGUAACUGACGUUGAGGCUCGAAAGCGUGGGGAGCAAACAGGAUUAGAUACCCCGGUAGUC